rnacentral:rRNA from 1 species
GACGAACGCUGGCGGCGUGCUUAACACAUGCAAGUCGAACGGAAAGGCCCUGCUUUUGUGGGGUGCUCGAGUUGCGAACGGGUGAGUAACACGUGAGUAACCUGCCCUUGACUUUGGGAUAACUUCAGGAAACUGGGGCUAAUACCGGAUAGGAGCUCCUGCUGCAUGGUGGGGGUUGGAAAGUUUCGGCGGUUGGGGAUGGACUCGCGGCUUAUCAGCUUGUUGGUGGGGUAGUGGCUUACCAAGGCUUUGACGGGUAGCCGGCCUGAGAGGGUGACCGGCCACAUUGGGACUGAGAUACGGCCCAGACUACUACGGGAGGCAGCAGUGGGGAAUAUUGCACAAUGGGAGGAAGCAUGAUGCAGCAAAGCCGCGUGCGGGAUGACGGCCUUCGGGUUGUAAACCGCUUUCGCCUGUGACGAAGCGUGAGUGACGGUAAUGGGUAAAGAAGCACCGGCUAACUACGUG